GACGACGUAGCAAAGUUGGUUAAUGCGUGUGAUUAGAAUAUUCUGGUCAUAUCACAUCCUCUUCGAGGGCGUAGGUUCGAAUCCUGCCGUCGUCG